rnacentral:tRNA from 1 species
GGGCCCGUAGCUCAGGUGGAUAGAGCAUCUGCCUUCUAAGCAGAGGGUCGGCGGUUCGAGUCCGCCCGGGCCCG